UAGUAUUGCCCUGAUCCAAGGAGCUGGAAGGGCUAAUGUCAGCGGUAGCCUGGACAUACAGCUUCCUCCUCCUUCGUCUGCUUCUCUAGGCUUCUGUGGUUCUGCACAGUGUGGGUUGUUAAGAGCCUCCUGUGCUCCUUGGGCAGUAUUUUUAAAAAAUCUUCCUUCCAUCCUUCACUCUCCAGGAAAGAUUCAUGGGUAUGUGUACAAGUUUGCAUUUUCUGCCUUCCAACAGGAGAGUCAAGUCAAGGCAUACACCUGUAAUCUACAACAGAGAGAAUGCCAUCCGAGCUGGGCUGGUGUCUUGAACCAUGGAGAUGUUUUGCGGGAAGAUGUGAGUAGCCAUUCCACCCAAGGGCAUGAAGUUCAAGAGGAAUCACAUGCAAAAUGCCUGCCUUGUCAUCCGCACUUCUUAGUUAAUCUGUGAGUCCUACUGAACAGUGGCAGAGGGCAAAGGGCCGAGCUGUCCUGCUGGCUGUAGAUGGAAAGAGCUCAAGACUCCCGCUUGGCCAAACAGCUUCAAUGUUAAGAAAACAUGACUUCCUGAGUUUGCAGAGGCCAACAUGUUUGCUUUGGUUUAAUUGCUAGUCAGAGGAAAAUACAUCCCAGGAGAGAGCGCCUGUCUCCACCUCAUCCUCUUUUUUCAUCUUUAUUUGAGAAGCAGAGAAAUCCAGUGACUAUUUGAGGCACUAGGGGUGGAGAGUAAAGUUGUCAUUCAGGAUGCCAAGUGACUUUUUAGACAGUGGAAAGAAGAAUUCUAUAUAGUAAUGAAAACAAACUACACACAGUGUCAUGGAUGAAUCUUUGAAAAAUGGUGAGUCAAAGAAUUAAGAUACAGAAGUAUUUAUACAGCAUAAUCUCUGAUUAUCUACUGUUGUAGAACACAUUACUUCAAAUCUUCUUGGUUUAUACAACAGAAAUCACUUAUGAUCAUGCUUUCUGUGGGUCAGAUAUUUGGGAGUGGCUUGGAGCAAUUCCAUCUGAGGGUUGCUCUUGAGGUUGAGAUUGCAGUUGAAUGUCUUUUUUGGGGUACAGUCAUCAAAAGGCUCUGGACUCGGGCUGAGGAUCCACUUCUAAGGUGGUUCAAUCACGAGGCUGGCAAGUUGGUGGUAGGUGCUGGUGGGAGACCUUGGUUCCUGUCGACAAGGGCAUCUUCAAAGGACCCCUUGAAUCUUCCCAUGCUCGCUUCAGAGUGAACUAUCUGAGAGAACUAGGCAGAAAUCACAGUUGACUUUUGUGACAGCUUUAGAAAUUAGUCACACAAGACCAGCCCUGAUUCAAUAUAGGAAGAGACCAUCAGGAGACCUGCAUUAUUGGGGGCCAUCUUGGAAGGUGGUGACCAUAAUUUCAUUUAUCUGAAGUCCAAAAAUAGGCAGAAAAACCCUAUAUUGCUUACGGGGGCAUACUUAUUUGUUAAAAUUAUAGAAAAAGAAGGGCAAUGGUGACCGUAAAAGUGGUUAUCUUUUGAAGGGAAAAAGCUGUGAGUGGGUAAGGAUCAUUUGUGAAAGAAUACAUGUAUGUUGUACGUACUUUUCCAAAGUGUAAUAUGUUUCAUAAUUGAAAGAAAAUACUCUUUAAAAAAAAUUAAACC